rnacentral:rRNA from 1 species
AGAGUUUGAUCAUGGCUCAGGAUGAACGCUGGCGGUAUGCUUAACACAUGCAAGUCGAACGGGAUAGCAAUAUCUAGUGGUGGACGGGUGAGUAACGCGUAAGAAUCUACCUACAGGACGGGGACAACGUUGGGAAACUGACGCUAAAACCCGAUGUGCCGGGAGGUGAAAUAUUAAUAGCCUGUAGAUGAGCUUGCGUCUGAUUAGCUGGUUGGAGUGGUAACGGCACACCAAGGCAACAAUCAGUAACUGGUCUGAGAGGAUGAUCAGUCACACUGGAACUGAGACACGGUCCAGACUCCUACGGGAGGCAGCAGUGGGGAAUUUUCCGCAAUGGGCGCAAGCCUGACGGAGCAAUACCGCGUGAGGGAUGAAGGUUCGUGGAUUGUAAACCUCUUUUUUCGGGGACGAUAAUGACGGUACCCGAAGAAUAAGCAUCGGCUAACUCCGUGCCAGCCGCCGCGGUAAUUC